rnacentral:rRNA from 1 species
UACAGAGGGUGCGAGCGUUAAUCGGAAUUACUGGGCGUAAAGCGUGCGUAGACGGUUUCGUAAGUCGGGUGUGAAAUCCCCGGGCCCAACCUGGGAAUUGCAUUCGAAACUGCGAGGCUAGGGUACGGAAGAGGGAAGCGGAAUUUCUGGUGUAGCGGUGAAAUGCGUAGAUAUCAGAAGGAACAUCAGUGGCGAAAGCGGCUUCCUGGUCCAGUACCGACGUUCAGGCACGAAAGCGUGGGGAGCAAACAGG